AAAGAAAAAAGUAAUACAUAUGAUCAUUUUAUGGAUUUUAUAUUGGAUAUUAAGCAAAAUGUUCAAAGUCUAGAAAAAGCAUUAGAGAAAUUUAUUCAACCAGAAUUAUUGCAAAACGAAAAUGCUUAUAAAUGUCCCAGAUGUAAUAUGAAGGUUUCUGCACAAAAGCGGUUUACUGUACAUAGACCUCCAAAUGUUGCCACAUUUCAGUUUAAAAGAUUUGAUUACAAUCGGAUGUUUGGUGGAAAGAUAACAAAACAUGUUUCUUAUCCUGAAAAAUUAGAUCUUCGGCCUUAUAUGUCUGAUACUAAGGGUGGACCAGUUAUUUAUAGAUUGAAUGCAGUUUUAGUUCAUCUUGGUCCCAGCUGUAAUUCUGGACAUUAUUUCUGUUAUGUUCGUAAUUCUAAUGGUUACUGGUAUCUAAUGGAUGAUGCUCGUGUUCAUCAAGUUAGUGUAAAUCAAGUUCUGAAUCAGCAAGCUUAUGUUUUAUUUUACAUUCGUGUAGCAGCUACUAGUUCUAAUCAUUUAAAGAAAUCUCCUUCUGCUGUUUCGACUAAUCAUAAAAUUUCUGAAGGAAUAAAGAAUGGAGUAUUAGGUCAUUUACCUAAUGAUUCAUCUGCAUCUUCAACUUCAAAAAGUAAAAGCAUUACUAAAACAACAUCAUCUCCAGCUAUUAUUCGAGUAUCAUCGUCAAGUUCUUCCAGUUUGGUGAAUGGAAAUGCUUAUGGUGUUUCACCAAAGCUGUCGUUACCGCAGAACAGAGAGAAAGUAGUUUUUGGAAUUCGCAGGCCAGAACCAGGAAUGAAAACUUUAAUAGAUAAAACUCAACUCAAUCAUAAUGUAAAAUAUAAUUCUUCUGUAUCAAAUAAUUCUGGUCAUGCUUGUCUUGUGCCAUAUGCAGGUGAUUCUUCUGAAUCAUCAGAUGAUGAACAUAGAAAAAUUAAGUCAAAAACAUCAAACUACAAAAAUUCUGCUAAAAAUACUCAUGAAACAAGCAAAUCAGAAGCAACUUCCACAGUUAAUUCAGACAGUUGUAAAAAUAAAAUUGAUUUGAAGGAAGAAAGUAAGGAUAAUGUUGGACAGAAAUCUGAAGAUUGUGUUGCUACAUCUAACAAACAUAAAAUAACAAAUGAAAAUUUUGUGAAAAAGUCAAGUGCUUAUAGAACUUCAUCUCCAUCUGUUACUCCAUCAGAUUCUCUUCAGGUUACAACCAAGGUAAAAUCAACAUUUCCUUGGCAUGUUAGUGAUGCUAGUCUGCACUCUCCGUCCGUUGCAUCAGGAUCAAGUACAAAUAGUGUUAAUUCAACAGCAGACUGGACUGUAACUGAUCAAGAAAACAUUAAUAGGAACAAAAUAGAGCGUACUUAUACUGGUUGGACUAUCACCCAAAAUGAAAAAUCAAGUAAUGAACAAAUUAAAACAAAGGGACCAUCUACACAUCAUAAAGAUACAAUUAAAAAAUCAUUAUCAAAUAGUAAUAAUAGUGAAUGCUCAGAGUUGCUUAACAAAUCUGAAGUUUUAGUGGAAUCUUCUUCUAAUGGAAAUACAAGUGUGUUAAAUGAUGCUGAAGAGUCUCCCACAAAAACUAAAACUAAUGAAGAUUUGCAAUAUUGCACUAAUAAGUCUAGUAGUAGUAAGUCAUCUGAACUAUUUGAUGUGGAUGUAAAUAAUUUUAAAAGUGAAAAUGAACAGUCAUUUCAGGACCAUGCAGUCAGUAAAGAAAAUUCCUUUCUUAAAAGUGGUAAAAAACGUAAAAGUAUUGACUCAGAAAAAGGAAAAUUCCAAGAUUCUUCAAGUAAAAGAACAUCAUCAUCAGCAUCUUCAUCAUCAUCAUUAUCUUCAUCAUCAUCCAAGAGCCUCAUCAGUGACAUUCAUAAGAGCACUAGUUCGAAGUGGGAGUCCAAAUUUUUUGACAAUGAUGAAACAAGCUAUUAUCCAGUGUCUAAGAAAUGCAAAAGUUCAUACAAUGAACAUGAAGAAAGAAAAGAGGGUUACAGAUAUAAAAAAAGAAUAGAUGAGAAGUGGAAAAGUAAAAAGAAAUAUAGUAAACAUACUGAAGAUUUUUGGCAAGCGCAUAAAAGUUACAGAUCAGGGAAAAAAUCUAAAAGUAGAAAAUACGAUCAUAGAGAAAUGCAGAAUAAUUACUAUAAUUCAUCAUUUAAUGCAAGAAAUGAAAGGCAUUACAGUUAUGAAGGAAAUCAUUAUAAAGAAAAAUUUAAUUCAGAAUUGCAGAAUAGUAUAACUCAUCAAGCUGAAAACACUCAUCAAAAAGCAAAUGUAAAAAUAAAACAUAAAAAUGGACUCGAUAAAUCUUUACUAGAAAAUUCAUGGGAUAAAAAGUAUUUAAAACAAAAAAAACAUUUAAAUUAUAAGAGUGGAGAUAGUGAUAAUAGUAGCUGCAGUUACGAAAUGGAAUGGGUAGAGAAGACAAAGGAAACUGUAGAAGCUGAACAAAAAACUUCAAAAUCUUACAAUGUUCCUUUCAAAUAUUGGGAUUCUGAUGUUAAGGAUGGUUUCACUCAGAAGACAAAUGAUCAUAAUUCUAAUCAUAAUAAAUAUUGGAAUGGAAGAGAGAGAAAUGAAAUUGUUAAAGAAUUACAAAAAUAUUCUAGUAAAGGUUAUGGUGAAGGAGUGAAUUCUUGGGAUGGCAACAGGAGUCAUUUAGAAAGAGAAGUGAUGGAGGAUAGCUUGCAGAAGAGGGACCAUUAUGAUGACUAUAAUGAAGAAUAUGAUAGAGGAAAGAUAUCUUCCAGGAAAUUGAUGUACAAAUCCUUCCAAGGAUCUAUUAGGCAUUGCUGAUAACUGAGUCUAAUUUAAUCCUUAAUAUUAUCCCAACAAGUGGCUUGUCAUCUUCUUCUUCUUCCACAUAUAUAUUUUUUUCCAUCAGGCUCUCCAAAAGAUGUUUUUAUGAAGAAAAUUAAGAAAUGGCAUGGAAAUUCGAAAAGAAUGUAUUCAUAUAACCCAUUCCAAAAGGCCUGGGAUUCUAAAAAAUAUGAAAAAUAUGAGCAUCACUCACAUAGGCA
rnacentral:misc_RNA from 1 species